GCGCACUUGGCUUGUCGCGCGCUCGAAGAUGGCGCAGGACACCGCACACAGGAAUGCGUACUGGAGACUAGCCUACUAAGCAGUAUGCCAAAAUACUACUUAUUCGAGGGUUUUGCUAGAGCUAUGCUGUUUAGUACGGUACCCCACACGAAUUUAUGGAGAUCCUUUCUGCCUCUGGAUGGAGCUCAAAUCUUCUCUAAUUCCAGACUGCUGGGACUACGGCUGCUCCUAAGGCCAUACAGACUUCAUAUAAAUCCAUAAUGAAAUUUUUCACACUAACUGUUGUUACCCAGAUGAGGAUGGGUUCCCUUCUGAGUUGGGUUCCUCUCAAGGUUUCUUCCUCUUAAAACAUCUUAGGGAAUUUUUCCUUGCCACCGUCGCCACUCAGUGGCUUGCUCAGUUGGGAUAAAUUCACACCUUUAAUAUCUGUAUACCAUGUUGAUAUUUCUGUAAAGCUGCUUUGAGACAAUGUCAAUUGUAAAAAGCGCUAUACAAAUAAAAUUUAAUUGAAUUGAAA